rnacentral:sRNA from 1 species
UCCCUGAUAUCAAAAAUAAAAUAACUGGU